ACGCUCGACACCUACGGGAGCAGCAGUGGGGAAUAUUGCACAAUGGAGGAAACUCUGAUGCAGCGAUGCCGCGUGAGGGAAGAAGGUUUUCGGAUUGUAAACCUCUGUCUUUGGGGACGAUAAUGACGGUACCCAAGGAGGAAGCUCCGGCUAACUACGUGGCAGCAGCCGCGGUAAUCUGAGCGGGCUGGCAAGGC
rnacentral:rRNA from 1 species